GACGAACGCUGGCGGCGUGCUUAACACAUGCAAGUUGAACGAAGAGCGAUGGAAGCUUGCUUCUAUCAAUCUUAGUGGCGAACGGGUGAGUAACGCGUAAUCAACCUGCCCUUCAGAGGGGGACAACAGUUGGAAACGACUGCUAAUACCGCAUACGAUCUAAUCUCGGCAUCGAGGAUGGAUGAAAGGUGGCCUCUAUGUAUAAGCUAUCACUGAAGGAGGGGAUUGCGUCUGAUUAGCUAGUUGGAGGGGUAACGGCCCACCAAGGCGAUGAUCAGUAGCCGGUCUGAGAGGAUGAACGGCCACAUUGGGACUGAGACACGGCCCAGACUCCUACGGGAGGCAGCAGUGGGGAAUCUUCCGCAAUGGACGAAAGUCUGACGGAGCAACGCCGCGUGAGUGAUGACGGCCUUCGGGUUGUAAAGCUCUGUUAAUCGGGACGAAAGGCCUUCUUGCGAACAGUU
rnacentral:rRNA from 1 species